UACGUAGGGUGCAAGCGUUAAUCGGAAUUACUGGGCGUAAAGCGUGCGCAGGCGGUUCUAUAAGACAGGGGUGAAAUCCCCGGGCUUAACCUGGGAACUGCGCUUGUAACUGGCAAGCUUGAGUGUGGCAGAGGGGGGUGGAAUUCCCCGUGUAGCAGUGAAAUGCGUAGAGAUGUGGAGGAACACCGAUGGCGAAGGCAGCCCCCUGGGCUAACACUGACGCUCAUGCGCGAAAGCGUGGGGAGCAAACAGG
rnacentral:rRNA from 1 species